rfam:Gossypium arboreum cultivar AKA8401 contig_34731_1, whole genome shotgun sequence.
AGAUCAUGGUGAGGGCAUCUUUGUACCAACAUCUUAAAUCACUCUCAAGCUUUAUGAGAAAUUUCUCCUUCUAAUUGCUUGAACGUUGCAAUCUCCUUCAUAAAUUG